AAAUUCCACUCUUCUCAAUAUCAUCCAGUCACGAUUACCGAAUCGUGACUAGAUGACAUUGAGAAGAGUGGAAU
rnacentral:miRNA from 1 species